CGCCCUUCCCCAUUUCCCCCACACCCUUGGCCGCAGCCCCCCCUCCCAUUUCCUCCUCCCUCAAACCAUUGCAGCCACACCACCCUAAACCCUAGCCGCCCCCCCCUCUCUCCAAGGUGAAGCCCUCCCACCUGGUUCUCCGUCGUGUGGCGAUCUCAAUUGGAGUUUGGAGGGAUAAAGAAGGAAGGAGAAAGGUAAGAAUCCAAGGUGAUUUUUGUGUUUAUCUCUUGUUCAUUUGUGCUGCAAUCCAAUUGAUUAGAUGUUGCGUAUGCGAUUUGGUAGAAGGGCUGUCCAGAAUUUUAGGGGGUGGACGAACAGCAGCAGUAUUAGUGGUUUCUGGGCAUUUUCGUGGGAAAUUAAUGGGAAUCAGUUUAGGAAUCAUGUAGAACUUUGACAUACCUUUCCAACAAGUAUUUAUGCGCUCAAUUUGGAGUUAUAAAUUAAAAGAUAUCACCGUUUGAAUCCGGGUAUGUGGCUGUCAAAAAAAUAGAUUUUCAGGUGGACGAACAGAAGCAGUAUUAGUGGUUUCUGGGCAUUUUUCGUGGGAAAUUAAUGGGAAUCAGUUUGAGAAUCAUGUAAAACUUUGGUAUACCUUUCCAACGAGUAUUUAUGCGCUCAAUUUGGAGUUAUAAAUUAAAAGAUAUCACCGUUUGAAUCCGGGUAUGUGGCUGUCCAAAAAAACAGAUUUUCAGGUGGACGAACAGCAGCAGUAUUAGCAGUUUCUGGGGAUUUUCCGUUAGUAAUUAGUGUUAAUCAGUAUGAUAAUCAUGUAGGGCUUUUUCUUACAUUUCCAACAAGUACUUAUGCGCUCAAUUCGGAAUUAUAUUUUAAAAGUUAUCGCUGUUUGAAUCCGAGUAUGUUGCUGCCCAAAAGAGAAAAAAAAACAGAUUGCAGGGUUUAUCUUGUGGACCGUUUUGGGGUAGUUAGAUGUUGGAAUUUAAUCAUAAAUUGUAUACAAAACUUAUGGGGAAUUUUAUGUAGUUGUCUCUGGAGUUUUUGUUUGUCAUCACUGCUGGCUUAAUUUUAAAGUUAUGGAAUUGUUAAGCAGCGCCGCUGCAGUUUGGUGAGUGUGGGGAGAAUUGUUACCGGCGGCGGGGUUUGAGACUGCGCGUAGGUGCGGCGUUGUUUUUGAGGCUUAUUAUGUGAAUUUGGUGCACUAAGUUGGGUGUCAAAAACAGGUGAUGGACUUCCGGAUCGUACUUAGGGAUUUUCCCAAACUUCCGGUAAAGGCA
rnacentral:lncRNA from 1 species